rnacentral:rRNA from 1 species
UUGCCUACGGGCGGCAGCAGUCGAGGAUCUUCGGCAAUGCGCGCAAGCGCGACCGAGCGACGCCGCGUGGGCGACGAAGGCCUUCGGGUUGUAAAGCCCUGUCGAGGGGGAGAAAGCCGCAAGGCGGAUCCAUCCCUGGAGGAAGCUCGGGCUAAGUUCGUGCCAGCAGCCGCGGUAAGACGAACCGAGCGAACGUUGUUCGGAAUCACUGGGCUUAAAGGGCGCGUAGGCGGGCUGCCGCGUCCGGGGUGAAAUCCCACGGCGCAACCGUGGAACGGCCCCGGGUACGGGCGGCCUCGAGGGGGGUAGGGGCGGGCGGAACUGUGGGUGGAGCGGUGAAAUGCGUUGAGAUCCACAGGAACUCCGGUGGCGAAGGCGGCCCGCUGGCCCCCAUCUGACGCUGAGGCGCGAAAGCCAGGGGAGCGAACGGGAUUAGAUACCCGAGUAGUC